AUGAGCUCACAAUUGCCUACCCCGCCGCCCCCCGACGCCGACGACCCUCCGUGCGCCCCGAACUCCGACGCCCCUCCGUCGCCUCCACAACUCCAGGUUUCCCUCCCAGACGAUAUCCUGGAGGAGAUCCUCCUCCGCCUCUCCACCGCGGCCGACCUCGCCCGCGCCUCCACCUCCUGCACCUCAUUUCGCCACGUCGUCGCUCCCCGCUCCUUCGCGCGCCGCUACCGCUCCCUCCACAAGGCCCCCGUGCUCGGCUUCCUCCGUGCUGACUUCUACGCCGCCCAGUCUCCGCACCCCUCCGCCCCGGUCGCCAACGCCCUCGCGCAGGCUGCCGACUUCGCCUUCAGCUUCCUCCCCAACCCCGCCUGCUGGAGCGCCCGUGACGUCCGCGACGGCCGCGUUCUCUUCUCCGCCGUCUCAGUCUCCGAAGGUCGUGGCGACUUCAUAGACGCCACCUCCAACACCUUCGUGGAUCUCGUGGUCUGUGAUCCCCUGUCCCGGCGCUACAUCCAGAUCCCACCCGUCCCUGAAGACCUAGCGGACUCCGUCCAGCACUGUGGCAUGUUAGAUUUCGAGCCCUUCUUUGCUCCGGCCAGUGACGAUGUGCGGGCGGAUGAAUCGUCGUUCAAAGUGAUCUGCAAGGUGCUGUGCGAAAACAAGGUUGCUGUCUUCAUCUUCUCUUCACACACUGGUAAAUGGGUUAGUAUUCAACACCAUGGUUUGGGCGCUUUGUCCAAUGAAGUUGUGGAUGCAUUGUAUGCACGAUGUGGACUGCAUCGGCGCCAUUAUGCACACGGUUGUUUCUGUUGGGUGUUAGAAUGGAUGGACAAACUGCUCAUGCUUGACACACGUGAGAUGAAAUUCACCAUUAUAGAUCUCCCGCCCAACAGUCAUGGGGGAAGGCUCGCCAUUGUGGAAGCAGGAGAAGGUAUGAUUGGGUUGUUAAAUAUUGGUAUGCGCACGUUAGACUUCUACUGUAAGGUUUGGCGAAACAAAAGUAAAGGCACCAAAGAGUGGCAGCACAGCACGAUAAACCAUCCGUUGCCCAAUUAUCACUGGUGCAUCAUUGGUGCGGAUGAGGAGUACUUACUCCUAAGAGGGAUUUCGCUAGAUUGGCCCUGGUUUGGAAGCUCUUCACAGCAGAGACCGGAUAUAGAGUAUUUUGCAUUGGAACUCAAGACAUUGCUGCUUGAGAGGAUGUAUGUGUCAAAGAACAAAAUGAUGCAUGCUCACCUGUAUCGAGGCUUCCCACCAUUAUUGUCUCCGCCAAGCAUAUGA
rnacentral:rRNA from 1 species